rnacentral:rRNA from 1 species
UGAUCCUGGCUCAGAACGAACGCUGGCGGCAGGCUUAACACAUGCAAGUCGAACGGUCUCUUCGGAGGCAGUGGCAGACGGGUGAGUAACGCGUGGGAAUCUACCUAUCUCUACGGAACAACAGUUGGAAACGACUGCUAAUACCGUAUACGCCCCCCUUUGUGAUUAUUGGGUGGGGAAAGAUUUAUCGGAGAUAGAUGAGCCCGCGUUAGAUUAGCUAGUUGGUGAGGUAAUGGCUCACCAAGGCGACGAUCUAUAGCUGGUCUGAGAGGAUGAUCAGCCACACUGGGACUGAGACACGGCCCAGACUCCUACGGGAGGCAGCAGUGGGGAAUAUUGGACAAUGGGCGCAAGCCUGAUCCAGCCAUGCCGCGUGUGUGAUGAAGGCCCUAGGGUUGUAAAGCACUUUCAACGGUGAAGAUAAUGACGGUAACCGUAGAAGAAGCCCCGGCUAACUUCGUGCCAGCAGCCGCGGUAAUACGAAGGGGGCUAGCGUUGUUCGGAAUUACUGGGCGUAAAGCGUACGUAGGCGGACUAUUAAGUUAGGGGUGAAAUCCCAGGGCUCAACCCUGGAACUGCCUCUAAUACUGGUAGUCUUGAGUUCGAGAGAGGUGAGUGGAAUUCCGAGUGUAGAGGUGAAAUUCGUAGAUAUUCGGAGGAACACCAGUGGCGAAGGCGGCUCACUGGCUCGAUACUGACGCUGAGGUACGAAAGUGUGGGGAGCAAACAGGAUUAGAUACCCUGUAGU